rnacentral:rRNA from 1 species
GUGAGGAAUAUUGGUCAAUGGACGAGAGUCUGAACCAGCCAAGUCGCGUGAAGGAAGACGGUUCUAUGAAUUGUAAACUUCUUUUGUGCAGGAAUAAAGUGGGUUACGUGUAACCUUUUGUAUGUACUGUACGAAUAAGGAUCGGCUAACUCCGUGCCAGCAGCCGCGGUAAUACGGAGGAUCCGAGCGUUAUCCGGAUUUAUUGGGUUUAAAGGGUGCGUAGGUGGAUUGAUAAGUCAGCGGUGAAAGUUUGCAGCUUAACUGUAAAAUUGCAGUUGAAACUGUCGGUCUUGAGUGCAAAUGAGGUAGGCGGAAUGUGUUGUGUAGCGGUGAAAUGCUUAGAUAUAACACAGAACUCCGAUUGCGAAGGCAGCUUACUGGGAUGCAACUGACACUGAUGCACGAAAGCGUGGGUAUCAAACAGGAUUAGAAACCCUAGUAGUCC